GUGUGUAUAAUUCCAGCAAAACCAGAGCCUUGGACAUGUGCUGUGAUCCAUGUGAGGAAUUGUGCUUGUGCUCCGUCAGAGAAGCUUCGCUUUGAAGAAUCCUUCAAAGAUUUCGUGCAUCUUCACUUGAUUUUCAAUAAUCUUCUGGCGACCCGGAAUCAGAAAUCCCAGUGAUGGAUCGACCAACCUGCUGAGUUUCAUCAGGAUUGGGAAAAAUGAAUUAAUCAGGAAGCAAGAUGUUGCCAUUGUACUUUUUAAUGAGUCAUAGAUUCAUAGAGAUGUGCAGCACGGAAACAGACUCUUCGGUCCAACUUGUCCAUGCCGACCAGAUAUCUGAAACUAAUCUAAUCCCA